GGGUUCAUGGCCUAAUGGUAAGGCGUUAGAUUUCGGUUCAAUUCUUGAAUAACUGUCCUCUAAAGAUUGCAGGUUCGAUCCCUGCUGAGCUCG